rnacentral:rRNA from 1 species
GUGUUCAGCAGCCGCGGUAAUACGUAGGGGGCGCGCGUUGUCCGGAAUUACUGGGCGUAAAGGGUGCGUAGGCGGCCCUUUAAGUCGGAUGUGAAGGCCCGCGGCUUAACCGCGGAAUGGCAUUCGAAACUGGAGGGCUUGAGUGUCGGAGAGGGUAGUGGAAUUCCCAGUGUAGCGGUGAAAUGCGUAGAUAUUGGGAGGAACACCAGUGGCGAAGGCGACUACCUGGACGAUAACUGACGCUGAGGCACGAAAGCUAGGGGAGCAAACAGGAUUAGAUACCCUGGUAGUCCUAGCCGUAAACGAUGGGUACUAGGUGUGGGUGGUUUCGAUACCAUCCGUGCCGUAGUUAACGCAUUAAGUACCCCGCCUGGGGAGUACGGUCGCAAGGCUGAAACUUAAAGGAAUUGGCAG